UACGAGGGGGGCGAGGCGUUGUUCGGAAUUAUUGGGCGUAAAGGGUGCGUAGGCGGUUUGGUAAGUCUGAUGUGAAAUCUAUGGGCUCAACUCAUAGUCUGCAUCGGAAACUGCCGGGCUUGAGUGAUGUAGAGGUUGGCGGAAUACCCAGUGUAGAGGUGAAAUUCGUAGAUAUUGGGUAGAACACCGGUGGCGAAGGCGGUCUGCUGGGCAGUUGCUGGACACUGAGGCGCGACAGCGUGGGGAGCAAACAGGG
rnacentral:rRNA from 1 species